GUGUAAAGAGGAUGUCCAGCCACACUUUGUUUACGUUCGCUAAAUUCAAGUUGCGUGCUACCGAAAAGCUGGCCCCAGUAUCAAAUGGGACGACAAUGGGCUCAAAAGCUUGCAAAGAGAACAAACCUGCUCGUUCUGCUACAUUUGAAUCAUUAUGAUUUUGAUCAUCAAGUUUUUGAAGGAUUAAAACAGAGGAACAAGCUUCAUUACUGCUAUACUGUAAGAAACCUGACGUAGCGCUCAGUUAUUGACAAGUGUGUAGUGUACAAUACGAUAUUCGUAACAGGUCAAUCUUAGCCAAGCCGCCAUUAUCGAUGGAUCUGAUGCGUGAAAAACAAGCAAGCUUCGUAAAAGAAAGCGACGGAGUUAAGAGUCAGAUCAUCCCAUUGAAAUGCCCAUUGACCAUGACACGUAUACGGAUUCCAGUGCGAUUUAUGUCCUGUAAGCAUCUUAGUUGUUUCGAUUUAGACUCGUACAUUGCUGCGGAGACGAACAAGUCAACGCAGAAAUGUCCCAUCUGCAAUUGCACUGGCUCGCCGUCGGCUCUUAGGAUGUGCGGCUUUACCUACUGGAUGCUUGAACAUAAUCCAGACUGCACACAUUAUGAGCUCACUUCCGAUUUCAUCAGACCCGUAGACAAAGGAAGUCUUACUCCUUCAGACAACGGUAGCAAAGCUAUUUCUAUUGAGAUAAGCUGAACCGUUGUUAGCUUUGUAAGUUUGUCUUUCGGCAUAAAAAUCGGCGCGAAAUUUACUCCAAUUGAUAGAACGUUGGGUAGUUGUCAUGGGGAAAAGAGCAUACUUCAGCCGCAUCGCAGAGGUUGUAGUCGCGCAGUCAUCCAUUAGGUCGUUUUCUUUUUAGAUGAGAAGUUAUGACUACGACGAUGUUACUUUUGCUGAAUAUUGGAUUUGGACAUUCCCUCCGUAUCAGAAGUGCGAAACUCAUGUUGCCAGGCAAAAAUCCAAAAUAAUAAAUGACAAUACUGCGAUGCGCCUUAAAGAUAUGCGUUCAGGCCCAACUAGCGUGCAGUGUUGGUACCCCGUAAGAAAAACUCAAUAAGUCGAUUAGUUCUAAGAAGCCACAUGUAAUUAUUCAGCCUUAAAACCUUAGCUCAACUAAUUGAGUAUAAUGUAUACGUACAAAUAUUCUGGCAACCUAGCUUAACUUAUAUUGAUAUUUUAAAUGAUGAUACAAAUGGAUAUAUAGUUUUUAACAUUAUGUUAAUAAUAUGUAUUGCUACGCAUUUGAAAAGGGUUAACGUAUGUACAGAUACGAUGUGUUGAGUCUAAUUCUGGGAAUCGACAUAUGUAAGUAAACAAUUUUUGAGCAGACGAAAACGCUGUCUAGCAGAAGUCAAUCGUCUUUUUUUAUAAACUCAGCAUAGUUCCACUUGAAACUGUCCUUUUUAAAAAUCACAGAACAAAUCGUUUUUAAAACGUUUCCUUAACCGCGAAAUUCAGUAACGUUUGCAUUGCCACCAUAUUGAUAGCGCAUAGAAAUGAACUGUGAUUAACUGUAUUUCGCUUGACUAAAUAGACGCUUGGUAACAUGAAUAGCACGCAGUAUCAUAAUAAAAAAAAAAAAAACGUUGGGCAUCUUUUUACUGAAACUGUGUCUUAGUGUUGUAUGGCAUCUGCUAAAUGUUAAAAUGGACUUUUAAUACGAAUCACUGGACUUGUUAAUUAGGUAGAGCAUAGUGCUGUUAGCAUUUUAUUUACUUUGUAGAGGCUUUAUCAUUACUACUCUCAUUAUUUU